rnacentral:rRNA from 1 species
UGGGGAAUUUUCCACAAUGGGCGCAAGCCUGAUGCAGCCAUGCCGCGUGUAUGAAGAAGGCCUUCGGGUUGUAAAGUACUUUCAGCGGGGAGGAAGGGAGUAAAGUUAAUACCUUUGUUCACUGACGUUACCCGCAGAAGAAGAACCGGCUAACUCCGUGCCAGCAGCCGCGGUAAUACGGAGGGUGCAAGCGUUAAUCGGAAUUACUGGGCGUAAAGUGCACGCAGGCGGUUUUUUAAGUCAGAUGUGAAAUCCCCGGGCUCAACCUGGGAACUGCAUCUGAUACUGGCAAGCUUGAGUCUCGUAGAGGAGGGUAGAAUUCCAGGUGUAGCGGUGAAAUGCGUAGAGAUCUGGAAGAAUACCGGUGGCGAAGGCGGCCCCCUAGACAAAGACUGACGCUCAGGUGCGAAAGCGAGGGGAGCAAACGGG